rnacentral:rRNA from 1 species
ACGUAGGGGGCAAGCGUUGUCCGGAUUUAUUGGGCGUAAAGAGCGUGUAGGCGGCCUGAAAGGUCAGCUGUGAAAACUCGAGGCUCAACCUCGAGACGUCGGUUGAAACCAUCUGGCUAGAGUCCGGAAGAGGAGUGUGGAAUUCCUGGUGUAGCGGUGAAAUGCGCAGAUAUCAGGAGGAACACCGGUGGUGUAGACGGCUAUCUGGACCGUAACUGACGCUGAGACACGAAAGCGUGGGUAGCAAACAGGA